CAGCAGCCGCGGUAAUACGUAGGGUGCGAGCGUUAAUCGGAAUUACUGGGCGUAAAGCGUGCGUAGGUGGUGGUUUAAGUCCGUUGUGAAAGCCCUGGGCUCAACCUGGGAAUUGCAGUGGAUACUGGGUCACUAGAGUGUGGUAGAGGAUAGUGGAAUUUCCGGUGUAGCAGCGAAAUGCGUAGAGAUCAGAAGGAACAUCUGUGGCGAAGGCGACUAUCUGGGCCAACACUGACACUGAGGCACGAAAGCGUGGGGAGCAAACAGGAUUAGAUACCCCCGUAGUCCCUGUCUCUUAUAC
rnacentral:rRNA from 1 species